CUCGGUCUCUCUCCCCUCUCCCCAUCCUUACCGCCGCCGCCACCUCUCCCCUCCAUGCCCUCUCCUCCGCACGCCGCCUCCAUGGCUCUCCCCUCCCUGCCCUCUCCUCCCCGAGUUGCCUCCAAGCUGGCAUGAGCAUACCUCCUUUGCGUGACGACUUGACGAGCAGCGGUCCCCGUCCUUACCGCCGCCGCCACCUCUCCCCUCCAUGCCCUCUCCUCCGCACGCCGCCUCCAUGGCUCUCCCCUCCCUGCCCUCUCCUCCCCGAGUUGCCUCCAAGCCGGCAUGAGCAGACCUCCUUUGCGUGACGACUUGACGAGCAGCGGGGGAAAAUCGGAGAGGAGGAGGUGUCCACGGAUACCGCGUGCGGAGGACCGGAGGAUGCUUCCUUACUCCCGAAGAUCCCCAUGCUCUCCGGAUCUGAGCUCACAUCAAACAGAUCCAGCCUCGACGACCAUCGAUCUGGCUGGCCUGUAGAAGCCCGUGGUGUGCGCGCAGCAAGCUCCACGAAGCAA
rnacentral:lncRNA from 1 species